GAUGAACGCUGGCGGCGUGCCUAACACAUGCAAGUCGAACGAGUCGCAAGACUAGUGGCGAACGGGUGAGUAACACGUAGGAAUCUGCCCCAAAGCGGAGGAUACCUAGCCGAAAGGUUGGUUAAUACUCCAUAGUCCCGCAAGGGUAAAGCAGCAAUGCACUUUGGGAGGAGCCUGCGUCCUAUCAGCUAGUUGGUGAGGUAAUGGCUUACCAAGGCUAUGACGGGUAGGGGGCGUGAGAGCGUGACCCCCCACAAUGGGACUGAGACACGGCCCAUACUCCUACGGGAGGCAGCAGUUGGGAAUAUUGGACAAUGGGCGAAAGCCUGAUCCAGCAAUGCCGCGUGAGUGAUGAAGGCCUUAGGGUUGUAAAGCUCUUUUACCAGGGAUGAUAAUGACAGUACCUGGAGAAUAAGCUCCGGCUAACUCCGUGCCAGCCGCCGCCGUAA
rnacentral:rRNA from 1 species